rnacentral:lncRNA from 1 species
GCUCAUUUAUUAUGCAGGUAAUAUGAAUUGCAGAAUAAUUAAGAAAUGCAAAUGUGCAAAAGAGAAAGGAACCUAAAAAUUACUGGUCACCCCAAUUACUCCGAGAUAAACACAGUUUUCCUGUUGUCAACAGGCUCUGACAGAGACAUAAUCUUGAUGUAUCUGAACUCUGGAAAGCCACAGUGAAAACCAGGAAAUCUGACUGCAUUGUAAAAAGGUAACCUGAGAUGAUUCUGGGAGGGCGGGGACAAGGGGAGAGAGCAACGAGCAAAUACAGGAAUUAGGGUUUCAUUUACCUUUGGUUGUCAAUUAGAUAUUUUGUCUGGAUUAAAGCCAUUAGUGGGCACAAGUGGAGAAAAUAUGUUUGAAUGUGAUAUGGUUUGAAUUUCUCACAUCUAACUAUGAACCAGAACUAGGGAGAAGAGUAAUAUGGGGCAGACAGAAGAACCCAAACAGAACCAGAACUGUCUGGUUAAAGGUUAAGUUAGGACACACAAUAGAAAUCACAAUAUAUUAUCGAUAUAGUUCUGGUGCCAUCUUAAGCUGUUUGUUUUUGUUUUUUAAGUAAGCUCUAUGCCCAGCGUGAUCUUGAACUCAUGACUCCAAG